UGGGGAAUAUUGGACAAUGGGGGCAACCCUGAUCCAGCCAUGCCGCGUGAGUGAUGAAGGCCUUCGGGUUGUAAAGCUCUUUUGGCGGGGACGAUGAUGACGGUACCCGCGGAAUAAGCCCCGGCUAACUUCGUGCCAGCAGCCGCGGUAAGACGAAGGGGGCUAGCGUUGUUCGGAAUUACUGGGCGUAAAGCGAGUGUAGGCGGUUGCCGUAGUCAGGUGUGAAAGCCUUGAGCUCAACUCAAGAAAUGCACUUGAUACUGGGUGACUAGAGGACCGGAGAGGAUAGUGGAAUUCCCAGUGUAGUGGUGAAAUACGUAGAGAUUGGGAAGAACACCAGUGGCGAAGGCGGCUAUCUGGACGGUUACUGACGCUAAGACUCGAAAGCGUGGGGAGCAAACAGGAUUAGAUACCCUGGUAGUCCACGCCGUAAACGAUGGGUGCUAGACGUUGGCGAGCUUGCUCGUCAGUGUCGCAGCUAACGCGUUAAGCACCCCGCCUGGGGAGUACGGCCGCAAGGUUGAAACUCAAAUGAAUUGACGGGGGUCAUA
rnacentral:rRNA from 1 species